CCCAGACGUGGUCUCUGCUAUUUCUCCACGUCACGGAGAUGACAGGCCCACUUACAACCUCCUGUCUGGGGUUCUUCUUUGCUCUCUUGAGUAGUCUUCCCGCCUUGCCUCUGCUGAGCUCAUGCCCCUCUCUACUCAGAGCCCGGGGCCCUCCCAGCUGAGAGCUCUCAGGAGCUAGCCUGGUCCCCUGGGCCACUCCAACAAGAGAAGAAGAUUCUGGGAUCCACAGCCUGGUGGUGUCCAGUCUGCCCAGCUGCCUCCGGCCUGGUUCUGCCUCACGAUUUUUACAUAGCAGUGCAUGUGAAGCUGCCUCAUUCUUUUCAUGCUGGUGGAGCACCGUGGUACAGAUGCCUCAUCAUGGAUUCAACCAGCCUCUGAAAGUCUCCAGUCCUUGUCCUUAUCAAGAUUUCCACUGUGAAUAACGCAUCAUUGCCGACACACAGGGAGUUGUCAACAGAGGAAGAAGUUUUCAGAGUAAAUGAGCUUGAACACCUAAUUGAAAUUCAUGUGAUAUCCAGAAUGUACGUAUGCGUUUUAUUUUAUUUUCAAUAAAGAUAAUCCACUUAAAUGCCCAAAAAGUGAGUUCCGGUCAUGGCAUGGAAUUGGUCUUCUUCAACUUCUAUCUUUGGCUCCCAGUUUCCAGUAUGAUGAGGAAAAGCAUCUCCUUCUAUCACUCAGCCCCCAACUUGGGUGGGAAGAUGAAGCUCCGUCCUCAGGGAGCCCCAGUCUGAGGGGAGACACAGCCCCAUCCUCAGGGGGUCCCAGUCUGAGGUGAGAUGCAGCCUUCCUCAGGGAGUCCCGUUCUGAGGGGAGAUGCAGCCCUGUCCGCCCUGUCCUCAGGGAACCUUAGUCUGAAGGGAGACGCAUAGCUUUGCCCUGAGGGAGUUCCCAAGCCCAACUUCUCUGGGUCAGGUAAAAUUAGUGGAGGGAAUUCCUCUGUGUUCUGAAGCAUCCACUUUCUCUCUGGGCCUGGCUCCCCUUCUCAUCCCAGGAAACCUCCUAAGUUCCCAGCCUAUUCCGUGUGUCAACACUUGUUUCCCUGGAGUGUUUGGAGUGUUUGUCCUCGGUCCCUGGAAGGGCUUUAUGUGUCCUUCCUUGCCUUCAGCCUCUUCCAAAGCCAGGGAAUGCAUGUCCUGAGGGGCUGGGGGAGGCCCAUGCUGGCUUCCUCGAUAGCCCCCCAGGACACAUGCCCUACAUCUGCCACUCUGAGGGCUGAGCUGGGCUGGGCUGAGGAGGGGCCAGUGUGCCAGGUGGUGUGGAGCUCUGGGGGACUGCCCUGCCCUUUACCCAUGCAGCGUGUGGGCAGUGAGACUGCAGGGAGAGCCCAGGGACUUCUCCCCGCUCAGGGAUCACAUCCAGUGAGACUAUCUGGAGACAGGCAGGAGGAUGGGUGCGAGGCCUUCAAUCCUUCUUGGAGUUCACAAAGUCAUUGACCUGGGAAGGCAAGGGCAUGCCAGGGCAGGGUAGGCUGGGCACACUUGCUGUGUUUUCUUCUGAGCAGAGGGUGCUG